AUCUAAGAGAUGGAGUAAUUUUUGGUGAUCCUAAAGCAGAAGAUUUUUAAAGGUACAGAGUGCAGUGACAUCUUGACCAUCCCUCAAGAGUGGCAGUCCUGGGGACAGGAUAAGAAGUAGCAGGCUCAUACUGAACAAGGGAAGCUUAGGCCAGAGCUUCUUUCAGCAUCUGCUUCUGGGCCCUCCACCUGACUGCCUCAUCCCUUAUCACCUGGAUAACAACUGUGCGUGAGUGCCUGAGCUCCAGGAGAGCCCUAUAUAAUGUGGCCUGAACAACGGAAAGCGAGCUGCGUAGCAAAGUCACAUUUUUGACUUCUGAGAGUAAACUAGAAAAGCAAUGGUGCCUC
rnacentral:lncRNA from 1 species